GUGCCAGCAGCCGCGGUAAUACAGAGGGUGCAAGCGUUAAUCGGAUUUACUGGGCGUAAAGCGCGCGUAGGUGGCCAAUUAAGUCAAAUGUGAAAUCCCCGAGCUUAACUUGGGAAUUGCAUUCGAUACUGGUUGGCUAGAGUAUGGGAGAGGAUGGUAGAAUUCCAGGUGUAGCGUUGAAAUGCGUAGAGAUCUGGAGGAAUACCGAUGGCGAAGGCAGCCAUCUGGCCUAAUACUGACACUGAGGUGCGAAAAGCCAUGGGGGAGCAAACCAGGAUUUAGAUACCCUGGGUAGUCC
rnacentral:rRNA from 1 species